AUGAACUGUGCUCCAGGACCAGUGAUUGUACUAGUCUUCAUGUUUGGAGGAGGAAGCAAUGGAGACUCGGUGACCCAGACGGAAGGCCUAGUGAUUGUCUCUGAAGGGACUUCCCUGACUGUGAACUGUUCCUAUGAAACCUCACUGUACCCUGCCCUAUUCUGGUAUGUCCAAUACCCUGGAGAAGGUCUACAGCUCCUCUUUAGAGUCUCCAAGGCCAAUGAGAAGGGAAGCAACAAAGGUUUUGAAGCCACAUACAAUAAAGAAACCACCUCCUUCCACUUGGAGAAAGCCUCUGUCCAAGAGUCAGACUCGGCUGUGUACUACUGUGCUCUGGGUGACACAGUGGCAGAAACUGCAGGGGUAGCUGAGCACAAACUCUGA